rnacentral:lncRNA from 1 species
AGCAAAUCUGACGGAGUGAAAUUGUUUAUCAUGUCAAGAUCUAUCUGCCCUGAAAUUUUCAGAUGGAUCCGACAACCGGUUGUUGGGUUGCUGCCCCAUAAUUGGUAAUUUUAAGAAAAUUUUGACGUUUUUGUUAUUAUCUUGAAUAUUAUUAUAGAUAGAGAUAAACUGUAAACAGCAAUAAUGUACAGCAAAGUAAGACCUAAAGAUAAGUCAAACAUGACAAAAAUGGUCAGUUGACCCCCUAAGGAGUUAUUGUCCUUUAUAGUCAAUUUUUAACAAUUUUCAUAAAAUUUGUAAAUUUUUACUAACAUUUUCCACUGAAACUACUGGGCCAAGAUCAUUAUAGAUAGAGAUAAUUGUAAGGAGCAAGAAUGUUCAGUAAAGUAAGAUGUACAAACACAUCACCAUCACCUAAACACAAUUUUGUCAUGAAUCCAUCUGCUUCCUUUGUUUAAUAUUCACAUAUACCAAGGUGAGCGACACAGGCUCUUUAGAGCCUCUUUUUUUUUUUACUUUGGUUCUCACAGAUUUCCUUUUUUGAAGAUAAAUAUUAUACACAUUUACACAGAAAUUGUGGUUUAGUUUGUUUCAAAUAAGACGUUCUGAAAACAUUGACUGUGACUACACCGAAAGAUUUGCACAUCGGAAUCGCUACGUACCUCCAACAGAUUUCCUCUGACAUCGUCCUACUCAGGCAUAGUUUACCAUCUUUCAUGUAUUCUCUGUAUGAUUGCCAGCGAGACGAUUGUCACAUGACCAAAUAUUUUAUAUAUAUGUUCAUGUAUGAUUGCCAGUGAGACAACUACUAACCAGAGUCCAAAUGAUGUGAAUGUAACCAACUUGGUCUUGAGGUCUUCAUGACCUUCAACAAUGAGCAAACCAAUAUAGUUGUUUAUGUCCUCAUCCUUUAGUCUCUGCUAGACAGUUGUCACAUUCACAUUGGCAACCAUAUCACUUCUUAUUUAGUCUUAUUUAAAUUUAGAAUAUGAAAUGAAAAGUUGAUAACUACCGGUAAAUAAGGUGAUAGAAAAAAACAUUGCUUAGGUUCAAAAAUUCUUUUGACAAAUCCUGGUAUAAAGCACUUUGAAUUACUCAUUGCAAUUUGCACAUGUGUCAUAUUGUUUUUGUUUCCAUCAAUGUUUGUUUGUGUAUUAAACUGUCUUGACUGUAUCACCUGACUAUUUGGUUGUUGAGUUGUUAUAUUGUUUAUAGGUUCAAUGUAAGUAAAAGUCUGGCAGUACUACAUUUGUAGUUCCAAACGCUUUGAAAAUUCAACUGGACAUUUGGUACAAUUAACCGCUCUUAACUGGACCAGAAUCUAACUAACAGGACAUUUAUACUUGCCUUUGCCCAGUGUCAGACACCCUUGUGAAUGGUCCCAUAUACAUUUGGGGUACUCCUAUUGGCUUGAAUUGUGAGAGACCUUUUGAAUCGUGUUUUCAAAUACAAUAUGUAAUUGAUGAAGUUUGCAAUAGCCCUGCUGUCCGUCUGCCUAAUAGCACAGCGCUGAAGUAUGAAAGCACUGAAUACCAAUAGCCUCAGGGGAAACACAAAUAAACUAUUUUUGGUGUACAGAAUAAUUGUUUAGUGUACCUGUACUUGUUAUGUAUUCUUAGUUUGGUUCUUUUGGAAGAUAUAUUUGUAUCUGUAGUACUAUAGUAAAAGGUUAACUAUAUUUGGUGCAUGAAAUGAUUGUAAGGUGCAAUGUCUGUCUGGCAAAAUUCAUCUGACCUUGACCUUAAAUCUAAGUUCAUUGGUUUAUUUUCCUGUUCAGUCAGUCAUAAAGAAACCACUAGGCUUAGCAAUAGACCAACUGUAUAUAAGCUAUACUCAUGUAAAUUCAUGCGGUUGAUUCUAUAUGCGUUUCUUAAUUCGUAAAUGUUGGAAGCAGUGAAUAAAGAAAGAGCAACCAUAAUAAAUUUGUGAUGACUUGGAGUCUUGAUAUUUAUUAUAACGGCUAUGGUCAGCUUGAACAUGUCAUUAUACCAAAAAUAAGCGUGUAUUGAUUGGUGAUCAUUCAUCUCGUUUUAAAGAAUAUACAUGCACUUGUAAACAUUUGUAAUACAUUUAUAAAUGUCUGGAAUAUAUGACCGUUUGGAAGCCAUGAUUUGUAUCAAGACAUUUCUUUGAAGUUUGAAAACGCUGCGAACUCUUCAAGAUAGGAUUUGAGCUUGACGGUUUUGAAAUUUCUUGAUUUUUUCACUAUCAGUAAGCUGUAAGGCAGUAUUGGAUGCAUUCCGUGAAAUUGCUGUAACACUUCAACUUAUUUGUUGAGAAUACUAAUAAACAUGGAAAAAUUAACAUAUGAAUACAUGCUAAAACAAAUUUUCAUAAUAUAUUAUAGUAUGAUUGCCAAUGAGACAUCUAUCCACUAGAGACCAGAGGAUAACAAAGUAAACAACGAAGCAAUUAUUAUUUAUGGAUGUACUUGGUGAGGUUUUGGAAAUUGUGUCAAAUAUGUUCGGACUCCUUGGUGUUUUUCCAUACAAUACAAUGUAAAAUAUUUUGCCCCAUACCACCCAUUUAUUUUUUCAUACA